UUUGCGCUUGGGGCAAUAUUAUAGCGCGUGACCGAAAGGGAUGCAUAAUUAUUGCUAGUUGAAAACUAAUCUAAUGGCUGCGGUGACCCCUCGUGGUCAGGCUGCAAUUUUUGAAAAA
rnacentral:snRNA from 14 species